AAUAGAUACCCGGGUAGUCCACGCCGUAAACGAUGAGUGCUAAGUGUUAGAGGGUUUCCGCCCUUUAGUGCUGCAGCUAACGCAUUAAGCACUCCGCCUGGGGAGUACGGUCGCAAGACUGAAACUCAAAGGAAUUGACGGGGGCCCGCACAAGCGGUGGAGCAUGUGGUUUAAUUCGAAGCAACGCGAAGAACCUUACCAGGUCUUGACAUCCCACUGACCGGUAUAGAGAUAUACCUUUCCCUUCGGGGACAGUGGUGACAGGUGGUGCAUGGUUGUCGUCAGCUCGUGUCGUGAGAUGUUGGGUUAAGUCCCGCAACGAGCGCAACCCUUGAUCUUAGUUGCCAGCAUUUAGUUGGGCACUCUAAGGUGACUGCCGGUGACAAACCGGAGGAAGUGGGGAUGACGUCAAAUCAUCAUGCCCCUUAUGACCUGGGCUACACACGUGCUACAAUGGAUGGUACAAAGGGCUGCAAGACUGCGAAGUCAAGCCAAUCCCAUAAAACCAUUCUCAGUUCGGAUUGCAGG
rnacentral:rRNA from 1 species